rnacentral:rRNA from 1 species
UACGUAGGGGGCUAGCGUUGCUCGGAAUCACUGGGCGUAAAGCGCACGUAGGCGGAUUGUUAAGUCAGGGGUGAAAUCCUGGAGCUCAACUCCAGAACUGCCUUUGAUACUGGCGAUCUCGAGUCCGGGAGAGGUGAGUGGAACUGCGAGUGUAGAGGUGAAAUUCGUAGAUAUUCGCAAGAACACCAGUGGCGAAGGCGGCUCACUGGUCCGGUUCUGACGCUGAGGCGCGAAAGCGUGGGGAGCAAACAGG